GCCGAAGUGGCGGAAUGGUAUACGCGGUAGUCUCAAAAACUACUAGCCGCAAGGCUGUGUGGGUUCGACUCCCACCUUCGGCACUA
rnacentral:tRNA from 2 species